rnacentral:lncRNA from 1 species
CUGAACUCUGCAGGUGGAUGGCUCUGGGAAUCCCUGAGGGUGGGGAGGCGGUGGGAAGGUGCCUCCAGCAUCCCCAGGCAGGGUGGAUGAGGCUCCCAGCUCUCCUGGAGGAUCUGCAGCAUCUCUUUUGCACAAUCAGCACUUUUGUUGGUCUUAAUGGAGCCACUUCUUGUGGAAAACACUGGAAAGGCUUCACGUGGAACUGAGUAAUUUCUAUUCCAGGCCAUGGAGGAGAGAGUACAGCCCACCCUGCCUGCUGCUUGUGAUCUGAUGUGAAAAUAACUCUGCUGGUGUGGUGUGAAUGCAGUGUGGUGUUUCCCACACAGAUGGGCCCAACCCAAAGGCUUUUUCCCCCAAAUUUUGUAAAGUUCAAAGGAGGCUGGAACCAAAGUGCUUCCCUUAACAGUCUAAUUUUGUGUUUUAGUUGCCAUGGAAGUGGCAAAAUUGACUUUAUCAAAUGAAUGCUCUUUGCCAUGACAUUCAAUCAGUUUCAUGCCUUUUGCAAUGGCUUCCUUGUGCUGUUGGUAAAAAUAAUGUUGCUUUUCCAGUAUGUCAUGUAAAGUGAUUUCAGCUGUGUUUUUUCCACUCCUGACCUCUGCAAUGUUUGCAUUUCAGACAGUUUUAUACAUUUAUUGAUUACAUGAGGUACUGUUCUAAUUUCCAGGAAGUAAGAACAUAGCCCUUAAAUCAUCCAGACUCUGAAAUAUUUUAAUUUCCUCAAGUAAAUAGAGCAUGUUUUGCCAGGAAUCUUAAAUGUAUGAUACAUGGAUUUGAUUCCACUUUCACACAGGUCUUGUGUGACUCCCUUCACUUCAGUGAAAUUACUCCUGAUUAGCAUUGAGAAACAGGUCCAGAAUAUGGGGAGGGGAGUGGGUUAAUGCCAUUUUUUCUGACACUGAGUGCUCUAAAAGCACUCUGAGACUGUAAACCAUUACCAUUUCUCAGUAAGUGCCCUCUGAGAGGACUGGGGAGGAUUGAGGAGUUUUUAACCAGUAAGUCACCUCAGUUCUCUCACAAAAGAGUGGAGAUUUAGCCUUUUCCAUCUCGUGGCUGUCUGGUGAUUACGUGGAGUCAGAAAACUGGUGAUCUUCAGUGUCAUCUGCUGAGACCACAACUGCUGCCAUUGGGUUAAUUCCCUUCCUGGCAGCUUGAAAGCACAGGUCUAGUCCUCUUCCCAGGCUUUGCAAGUUUUCCUGUCAACCAGGA